ACAGCAGUCGCCGCGGGAAAACGAAGGGUGCAAGCGUUACUCGGAAUUACUGGGCGUAAAGCGUGCGUAGGUGGUGGUUUAAGUCCGUUGUGAAAGCCCUGGGCUCAACCUGGGAAUUGCAGUGGAUACUGGGUCACUAGAGUGUGGUAGAGGAUAGUGGAAUUUCCGGUGUAGCAGUGAAAUGCGUAGAGAUCGGAAGGAACAUCUGUGGCGAAGGCGACUAUCUGGGCCAACACUGACACUGAGGCACGAAAGCGUGGGGAGCAAACAGGAUUAGAUACCCCCGUAGUCCCUGUCUCUUAUAC
rnacentral:rRNA from 1 species